rnacentral:rRNA from 1 species
AGGCUGCAACUCGCCUGCGUGAAGUUGGAAUUGCUGUAAUCGCGGAUCAGCAUGCCGCGGUGAAUACGUUCCCGGGCCUUGUACACACCGCCCGUCACACCAUGGGAGUUUGUAACACCCGAAGUCAGUAUCCUAACCGCAAGGGGGGAGCUGCCGAAGGUGGGAUAAGCGACUGGGGUGAAGUCGUAACAAGGUAAC